GGUACUGGUCCCAGUCCCGGUACUGGUCCCGGUUCCAGCCCUGAUCCCAUCCCAGUCGUGGUCCUGUCCCCAUUCCCGUUCCUGGUCCUGUUCCUUUUCCCCCUCCCGCUGCUGUUCCCAGUCCUGGUUCCAGUCCCCUUCCCAGUCCCGGUGCCAUUCUCAAUCCCAUUUCCAGUCCCAGUCCCGAUCCCAUUCCUAGUCCUGGUCCUGUUCCCAUCCCCACUCCUGUUCCCGUUCCCAUUCCCACUCCUCUUUCCCCUCCUGCUGCUGUUCCCAGUCCCGAUCCUAUUCCCAGUCCUGGCCCUGUUCCUGUUCCCACUCCUGCUGUUCCCAUUCCCAGUGCCAGUUCAGAUUCUGUUCCCAGUGCCAUUCCCGGUCCCGUUUCCAGUCCCGACCCCAUUCCCACUCCUGCUGCCAUUCACAAACCCGUUCUCAGCACCAGUCACAAUCCUAUUCCUGUUCCCAUUCCCAGUUCUGUUCCCAUUCCCGGUGCCAUUCCCGUCCCAGUUCCUGUUCCUAUUCCCAUUCCCAGUGCUGCUCCUGUACCCAUUCCCAGUGCCGUUCCCAUUCCCAAUCCCAUUCCCAGUGCUGUUCCCAUCCCAGUUCCUGUUCCUAUUCCCAAUCCCAAUCCUAAUCCCAAUCCCACAGGACUGGCAGGUUCGCUACCAGCAGGACGCACCGGUCGCCCCCCGCUUCGAUGUCAACGCCCCCGACCUCUACAUCCCGGGUACGGCCCCGACCCCAAACCCUGACCCCUGACCCCAAACCCUGACCCUAACCCCGCUCCCUGUCCCCACAGCCAUGGCCUUCAUCACCUACCUGCUGGUGGCCGGGCUGGCACUGGGCA
rnacentral:lncRNA from 1 species